AGGGAAUCUUGGACAAUGGGCGAAAGCCUGAUCCAGCCAUGCCGCGUGAGUGAUGAAGGCCUUAGGGUUGUAAAGCUCUUUCGCCAGGGAAGAUAAUGACGGUACCUGGAUAAGAAGCCCCGGCUAACUUCGUGCCAGCAGCCGCGGUAAUACGAAGGGGGCUAGCGUUGUUCGGAAUUACUGGGCGUAAAGCGCACGUAGGCGGCUUUCCAAGUUGGAGGUGAAAUCCCCGGGCUUAACCCGGGGACUGCCUCCAAAACUGAAAGGCUAGAGUCCGAGAGAGAUGAGUGGAAUUUCCAGUGUAGAGGUGAAAUUCGUAGAUAUUGGAAAGAACACCAGUGGCGAAGGCGGCUCACUGGCUCGGUACUGACGCUGAGGUGCGACAGCGUGGGGAGCAAAC
rnacentral:rRNA from 1 species